rnacentral:rRNA from 1 species
UACAGAGGGGGCGAGCGUUGUUCGGAAUUACUGGGCGUAAAGGGCGCGUAGGCGGCCUGCUAAGUCGGACGUGAAAUCCCUCAGCUUAACUGGGGAACUGCGUCCGAUACUGGAUGGCUUGGAUUUGGGAGAGGGAUGCGGAAUUCCAGGUGUAGCGGUGAAAUGCGUAGAUAUCUGGAGGAACACCGGUGGCGAAGGCGGCAUCCUGGACCAAUAUUGACGCUGAGGAGCGAAAGCCAGGGGAGCAAACGGG